GAUGAAGAACGUAGCGAAAUGCGAUAAGUAAUGUGAAUUGCAGAAUUCAGUGAAUCAUCGAAUCUUUGAACGCACAUUGCGCCCGCCAGUAUUCUGGCGGGCAUGCCUGUUCGAGCGUCAUUUCAACCAUCAAGCCCCCGGCUUGUGUUGGGGACCCUGCGGCUGCCCGCAGGCCCUGAAAACCAGUGGCGGGCUCGCUGUCACUCCGAGCGUAGUAGCAUAUAUCUCGCUCAGGGCGUGCUGCGGGUUCCGGCCGUUAAAAGCCUUUUUUUUUACCCAAGGUUGACCUCGGAUCAGGUAGGAAGACCCGCUGAACUUAAGCAUAUCAUAAGCGGAGGA
rnacentral:misc_RNA from 1 species